rnacentral:rRNA from 1 species
AGAGUUUGAUCCUGGCUCAGAUUGAACGCUGGCGGCAGGCCUAACACAUGCAAGUCGAGCGGUAGCACAGAGAGCUUGCUCUCGGGUGACGAGCGGCGGACGGGUGAGUAAUGUCUGGGAAACUGCCUGAUGGAGGGGGAUAACUACUGGAAACGGUAGCUAAUACCGCAUAAUGUCGCAAGACCAAAGUGGGGGACCUUCGGGCCUCAUGCCAUCAGAUGUGCCCAGAUGGGAUUAGCUAGUAGGUGGGGUAACGGCUCACCUAGGCGACGAUCCCUAGCUGGUCUGAGAGGAUGACCAGCCACACUGGAACUGAGACACGGUCCAGACUCCUACGGGAGGCAGCAGUGGGGAAUAUUGCACAAUGGGCGCAAGCCUGAUGCAGCCAUGCCGCGUGUGUGAAGAAGGCCUUCGGGUUGUAAAGCACUUUCAGCGGGGAGGAAGGCGAUAAGGUUAAUAACCUUGUCGAUUGACGUUACCCGCAGAAGAAGCACCGGCUAACUCCGUGCCAGCAGCCGCGGUAAUACGGAGGGUGCAAGCGUUAAUCGGAAUUACUGGGCGUAAAGCGCACGCAGGCGGUCUGUCAAGUCGGAUGUGAAAUCCCCGGGCUCAACCUGGGAACUGCAUUCGAAACUGGCAGGCUAGAGUCUUGUAGAGGGGGGUAGAAUUCUAGGUGUAGCGGUGAAAUGCGUAGAGAUCUGGAGGACUACCGGUGGCGAAGGCGGCCCCCUGGACAAAGACUGACGCUCAGGUGCGAAAGCGUGGGGAGCAAACAGGAUUAGAUACCCUGGUAGUCCACGCCGUAAACGAUGUCGAUUUGGAGGUUGUGCCCUUGAGGCGUGGCUUCCGGAGCUAAACGCGUUAAAUCGACCGCCUGGGGAGUACGGCCGCAAGGUUAAAACUCAAAUGAAUUGACGGGGGCCCGCGCAAGCGGUGGAGCAUGUGGUUUAAUUCGAUGCAACGCGAAGAACCUUACCUGGUCUUGACAUCCACAGAACUUUCCAGAGAUGGAUUGGUGCCUUCGGGAACUGUGAGACAGGUGCUGCAUGGCUGUCGUCAGCUCGUGUUGUGAAAUGCUGGGCUAAGUCCCGCAACGAGCGCAACCCUUAUCCUUUGUUGCCAGCGGUCCGGCCGGGAACUCAAAGGAGACUGCCAGUGAUAAACUGGAGGAAGGUGGGGAUGACGUCAAGUCAUCAUGGCCCUUACGACCAGGGCUACACACGUGCUACAAUGGCAUAUACAAAGAGAAGCGACCUCGCGAGAGCAAGCGGACCUCAUAAAGUAUGUCGUAGUCCGGAUUGGAGUCUGCAACUCGACUCCAUGAAGUCGGAAUCGCUAGUAAUCGUAGAUCAGAAUGCUACGGUGAAUAAGUUCCCGGGCCUUGCACACACCGCCCGUCA